AUUGAACGCUGGCGGCAGGCCUAACACAUGCAAGUCGAACGAGUGGCGGACGGGUUAGUAAUGUCUGAGAAACUGCCUGAUGGAGGGGGAUAACUACUGGAAACGGUAGCUAAUACCGCAUACCAUCGGAUGUGCCCAGAUGGGAUUAGCUAGUAGGUGGGGGAAAGGCUCACCUAGGCGACGAUCCCUAGCUGGUCUGAGAGGAUGACCAGCCACACUGGAACGGAGACACGGUCCAGACUCCGACGGGAGGCAGCAGUGGGGAAUAUUGCACAAUGGGGGCAAGCCUGAUGCAGCCAUUCCGCGUGUAUGAAGAAGGCCUUCGGGUUGUAAAGUACUUUCAGCGGGGAUGCGUUACCCGCAGAAUAAGCACCGGCUAACUACGUGCCAGCAGCCGCGGUAAUUC
rnacentral:rRNA from 1 species